UCGUGUAGAAAAAAAAAGAAUCGGCCUCCCCCACCGCCGCAGCAUUGCACCCCCCGGCGAGCCCUGCGGCUCCACCGCCUGCGCCUGCCGACCUGCGGGGCGACACCGCCGUGAAUCCCCCAAGCACGGCCGGAGGGCGCUUUCUGCGCGGCAGACGGAUUGGACUCCGGCAGAGAACUCGUGCUGCGAUCGGCGAACUUGAGCAGAGUGGUUCCCCCGCCACGGCCGGGAGGGAUAUUUCUGCGCGGCAGGGGUAUUGGACUCCGGGAGGGAGCUGGUGCUGCGAUCUGCGAACUUGAGCAGAGUGGUUCCUGUGCGCAAGCUCUCAGUGCGGCUCGUGGAGGAUGAGGAAGACGCAGAAGGUGGAAAUGGGGUGUUCCAGAAUUACCCCCCCAUGGGUUCUGCUGAAGGGAUUGUGAUCCACCCUUACGCUCUUCAGAGAAGGUGACUGAUUUCUUGUCCUUAGGCUCUGUUGUUUAUUCUUUUGUCAUAGUUACAAUUUUGUAAAUUCUUACCCUGUGAACCUACGGAUGCAUGCUUGUGUAGAUUAACUAAUUGUUUAGAUGUGACAUGUUACAUCUUAAUUAGAUUGGCUUUCGACAAUUGCUAAAGUUGUAGGAAAAAGGAUUUAUUACAAUAUCUUCCUGUAGCAUAUUGUCCGAUUUCAAGGGAGAAGUCUCAAAGGUUUGGACCCCAACUUGCGAGACAAAGUUAUAUAUUCGUCUCCAAAUUUUGAUCCAAAGGUUUUCCUUUCGUGGGUCCAUAAAGACACAAUUGCUGCUGACUUAGAGUAUGGUGCUCUCACCUUGGAAACUGAUCUCAAAGGGAGAACGCAGCAGACAUUGAGUCGAAAUUGAGACAGAUAGAGGAAGAUGCUGAAGGUGCAGGUACUUCUCAUUUGCAUUCAAUCACAGAAAGAAUUAGCGGCGUGGCAAAAUCGUGCAUUUGAGCCUCUAUUUGAGAGCCAGGCACAAGCUGAGAAUAUCAGAUCUGUCCAGGGGAUGCUUCAAAGAUUCGGAACAUUAUUUAACGUACAAAGUGCAAUCCGUGGGAACAUUACAAAAGGAGAAUAUGAUCAUGCUGUCAGAGAGUACCAAAAAGCAAAGUCAAUUGUUCUUCCUUUCCCAUUCAAACUUGAUCAGAAGUGCUGCACAGAGUUAUCUUUUGGAUUCUGGGAUUAACUGGGGAGCAGCACUGUCAGUAAAAGGGCAUUCGGGAUGCAACUCUUGAUUUACUACACAUCCUUGUAGCAGUACAUGCAGAGGUCUCCAUCAUUUUCUAUUCUUAUUAUGGAUAUUUAAAUUUUGUCAUGACAGCAUUGCCUUUCCUAUUAAUAUGCAUGAAAUUGGUUUAAAGAAAAAAAAUACCUUUUAUUGGAUACUUUACUGUCAUCUUUGGCCCA